UACGGAGGGUGCGAGCGUUGUCCGGAAUUACUGGGCGUAAAGCGUGCGCAGGCGGUUUUGUAAGUCUGAUGUGAAAUCCCCGGGCUCAACCUGGGAAUUGCAUUGGAGACUGCAAGGCUAGAAUCUGGCAGAGGGGGGUAGAAUUCCACGUGUAGCAGUGAAAUGCGUAGAGAUGUGGAGGAACACCGAUGGCGAAGGCGGCCCCCUGGGUCAAGAUUGACGCUCAUGCACGAAAGCGUGGGGAGCAAACAGG
rnacentral:rRNA from 1 species